rnacentral:rRNA from 1 species
AUGAACCCAUCCUCGGCUCCCGGGCCAGAUGGGCUCCCAGUGAAGUUCUUCCAGACCUUCUGGGAGGUGAUCAAACCUGAGGUGAUGGCCCUAUUUGAUGAGUUCUUGGUCGGGCUCACGGUUGCUGACCUGCACCCCUCGGUGGGGAAGCUUCAGCACCGUAUCGAGCCUUGGCAAGGCCGGUGGCUCUCGAAAGCUGCACGGACGAAAUACCUCCGAGGCCAGCCUCUCGCUUUCCGCCAGUGGUCUGGGGGCUCCCAGUUCUGGCAAUCUGUCAUCCAACUCCUCCCGGUCCUCCGGAUUGGGACCUUGAUCGAGGUCAUAUCAGGCACUGCCACCUUGUUCUGGUUUGACAGAUGGUCUGGCAACUUGCACCUUGCGGCCCGAUUUCCUGACCUAUUCUCCAUUGCGGUGGCUCCUCAGAUCUCGGUCGCGGCUGCCCUUACGGACUUAGGGCAGGUCGCGUUCCGGAGGCCUUUUGGCCCGACUAAGACCGUCGACUGGCAGGAGCUGCUCAACUGCAUUGCCUUACACGCGCCUGACCUUACGACCGAGGAUGACAGCUCCAGAUGGUGUCUAGAGCCUUCCGGACAAUUCUCCACCAAGUCCCUGUACCAGGCCAUCGCACCCUCGCUUGGCCAUGAGAGGCGCUCACCUUCAUUUGGGAGAUUCGCCUCCUCCUGA